GCUGCGGCGGCAGGAGGCUGUGCCUGUGGGAGGGAAGUGGGCGGGUCAGGGGCUGCGGGCGUCCCAGGUCUGCACUGUUCCCGGCCCGCUGCCUCCCUCUGCAGGCUCCCCCCGCAUCACCGUCUCUAAUCCUCAACCUGGCCAGGACUCGAGGCUGCGUCACUGCAGAGAGUUGCAGAAGUGGGGCCCGUCCUGCGGACCAGGGAGCAGCCAGGCACGGGAUCAAGUUACCAAACCAGCGUUUUUGCGGAGAGAGCCGGACACUAACUUUUUUCUGAAAAAAAUCACGCGCUUAAAAAAAAAAAAAGGAAGAGACCCAGGAGAACUGCGGCUGCGCAAGCCCACCCCUUCACUGUCCUGCUCCACGAGCUCGAGCGCGCGCAAGCCCCACUCGCGCCCCGCUUUUCCUGUCGCCACGGUCGAAGACGGCCACGUAGCUGCGC